UCUCUGUAUCAGCCGACAACAACAGUGCUUUUUUAAUUUGCUGGAGCUGCCGACAACAACCAUGGUCUCCACUCUCCAGCAGAGGAUGUAAGGGGGAGUAUGUUUCUCCCCUUUCCAGCAGAGGAUGUAUUUUUUUCUGAGUUAAAAACUUCCUUUCUCCCCUUUCCGGCUUUCCCCAGGCUCCAGCAAAUUAAAAAAGCACUCCCCUAGUCCCCCGAUCCGGAGCGUCUCGCCAAGGACGAAGGUAAGAAUUGAUAACCAAAAUUUUAAAUAAAUUGUUUAAACUUUAAAGUUUACUUCCUCCGCAGAAAUAGUUGAGAAUCGCCGACGACGGAGAUCUAGAUUCUAGUUGAUAACCACUGAUACAGUAUUCACCGACGACGGAGGUCCUGAACUUAGUAUUUAUUUGCUUAGAGUUUAAUUAGGCUCUGAUGGGUCUGUAAAUUGUUGGAGAGUUUAUCAGAGAUUUUUCAUAUAUUAUGCUCCUCUCCCACUGCUCAUCCUCUUGUUGAUUGGAUAGAAUAGGCAACUAAUCUGACUCUUAUAAUUUUCUGUGAACUGGAAUUACAACAACAAAAGAUUUAAUUUGUCUGACAUGGAAGUUCUUUUCCUGAGAUUUUUCCAUCAAGGUUUAGUAUUGAAUUUGAUUUGAUAGUGUGAUUAUGCAACUUAAUUUUGUUUUAUUUGUAUUUUCUU
rnacentral:lncRNA from 1 species